CCUGUUGGAGGGGUGGGGGGAAGAAAAGACAAUGGAACAUUGUUGAACUUCACAAUACGAAGCAGGAGUCGACAGUUUAACGCCUACGUGUCGUUUCUUUUUCAAAAUUAUUCACACUUCAUGAACUUUCCACAUUUUGUCACAUUACAGAUGUCUGCGUUUUAAGUUAUGUGGGAGAUCAGCAAAUGGCCAUUUCACACCAUCAGCUGGCAUGAAAGAAUUAAAGCAAAACUCCAGUGGGGGCGCUCUCGUGCGGCUGUGGGUCUAAAAGGGGGAACGAGUUUCCUGGCUGUGGGCAACGAGUUCUUCAACUUGCUUCCUCUAUGAUUCACUGGUAGGACAAAAGGCAACUUUUAUAAGUCCAUUUAAAAUGUUCUGUAAAUUUAUAAAGAUUAGUUUUGUAGUGUUUUGUAUAACUCGUGUGUAAUUUGGACAGGGGUGGAAAUUAGCACCCGCCACUGGCUAAAUGCGGGUAAAAAGUAUGAAGUGGCGUGAAAAUUGGAGCAACGCACCCGCCACCGUGGCGGCUUGACAAUUUAAACAGUAAAAAAACAAAUAAAAAUACUGCAUUCAGUUUAAACUUAUGUCCAGGGUAGGAGUAGCUGACUGGUCUACAGACUGAUGCACAUACUGUAUAUGGGACGGACCUAGGCUGUCAUUAUUUAACAAAAAAAUAUAUCAAAAAUCAUUUUUAACGACCGCGACAGCCCAUUGCUUGAUUUCAUUGACGGACAUUGGGCUUAUCCAAUCAAAUCCCUCAGUCCUCGUUGGCCCGCCCCUCCCCUCCUAAGGUUAUAAAUACCGCCAUUUUCGCUAACCGGAGUCCGAGCAAAGUGAGCGGAGACGAGGAGGGUCAGGAAAACUACAACAAAAGCUAAAAAGCGCGUAAAACCCAUUCAGAAAAAUGUGUCAAACUAACUGAUAUGUUAAUUACCACACAGAGGGUAUUACCACCGUAAAGGCGGGGAGGGAAAGAAGCUAACGUGAGAGGGGGGAAGUUCAAGAGGGGAUAUAAAGUACAGUAGUUUCUCAGAAAAAGCGGGAGGCUUGACAGGUAUGGGGAUAACAGGAAUGAUGAUGGCCCGUGGAAUUAAUAAUGAACACGUUCUGAGAUGUUUUUAGUAAUAAGAAUAAUUGUGAAUUUCAAUAGAAAACGUAGUAAGUAAUGAACAACAAAUAAAACAGCUAUUGAUAACGUUUAAAAAUGAUAACUUAUUACUAUCUGGGGGAGUUGUUGGCAAAAUGUGGAAAUGUUCAACAUAGGAAAUGAUUGCAAGAACGUUGUGUAGUUAAAUUUGCUGUUAGUAAUUACUGCAAGUGAACUUAUUACACUACACCUCUGUUAAGGUAUCCAUGCUUUAUGUUAAAUUAGUCUGUAUACGUACAUAUUUAUGGUAAACUUACUGUCAGUAAAUUGGUUUUCAUAGAGUUAAGAAUAAAUCAUGUAUUUUAUGUCAUUUGCUUGUACUGGUGGGGUUUGUAAUUGAAA